UCCUGAAGAGGGGUGAUGUUUGGGAGCCUGACGAACAGAUAGACCUUGAGUCAUUUAAUACCAAUGUUUUCUUUGAACUUUUGCUGAGACAGUCACUAUCUGUCACAACCAAACUGGGCCAUUUCAAAGAAGAGGUAAAAACUAUAUAUCGUGAGCUUUCAAGUGAAAUAUCCUCACUGAAAAACCUUUGGAUAAAGACACUGAGUACCCCAGAAGAGAUGGAAGUUUAUGAGAGCACAAUGACAGAAGCCUAUUUAAAAGCAAAACAGCAGGCAGAAGAAGAGAUGCAGCAAAGGAAACAGCUGGCUGCUGAAUAUGAGGAAAAUGUGAACCAGCAGAUACACUUAUUACAGCAUGAUCUGAAAUGUCAGGAAGAGCAUUGCGUCCAGUUCAAUUCUGCGCUGCGAGAGGUGGUGAGAUUGGCAGAGAUGCUGACAAAUAAGGUGGCUUGUAAAGGAAACCAAACACCAGUGUCUCAUCCAGACUAUACAAGGCUCAAAUGGCACUGCUGGAGCAUCUGAUGUUGUCUGCGUGGAUCCCAUCACUG